rnacentral:misc_RNA from 1 species
GAUGAAGAACGCAGCGAAAUGCGAUAACUAAUGUGAAUUGCAGAAUUCCGUGAAUCAUCGAGUCUUUGAACGCACAUUGCGCCCCCUGGUAUUCCGGGGGGCAUGCCUGUCCGAGCGUCAUUACAACCCUCAAGCCCGGCUUGUGUAAUGGGCGGCCGUCUCUCCCCCGGGGGGAGACGCCCCCGAAACUCAGUGGGGAUGUCGCGAUACCGAAGCCUCAGCUAAUGGGUAAACCACAGCUGCAAUGGCCGCGGCCGGCGUCCGCCUUCCACGGUCCGUCCGCCUAGCGCGGGCGGCCUUCUCAAGGUUGACCUCGGAUCAGGUAGGGAUACCCGCUGAACUUAAGCAUAUCAAUAAGCGGAGG